CGCAGCUCUGGAUCCUGCGGGGCUCGUCGCCAUCGCCGUCUGCCAUGGGUUUGCGCUCUUCGUGGCGGUAUCGGUGGGCUUCAACAUCUCCGGCGGCCACGUGAAUCCGGCGGUCACCUUCGGGUUGGCUCUUGGAGGGCAGAUCACCAUCCUCACUGGCAUCUUAUACUGGAUCUCCCAGCUGCUUGGAGCUGUUGUCGGAGCUUUCCUCCUCAAGUUCUCGACCGGACUGGUAAAGGCUGACGCACACAGCCAUCAAACACGAGACAGAAGCUAAAUCCUCUUCUGAUCUUGCAGGACACCCCCACUCAUGGACUGGGAGCAGGAGUGGGAGCAGGAGAAGGGGUGGUGAUGGAGAUCAUCAUCACCUUCGCCCUGGUGUACACGGUGUACGCGACGGCAGCCGACCCGAAGAAGGGCUCCCUCGGCACCAUCGCCCCGAUCGCCAUCGGCUUCAUCGUCGGCGCCAACAUCCUCGCCGCCGGCCCCUUCUCCGGCGGGUCGAUGAACCCGGCUCGCUCCUUCGGGCCCGCCGUCGCUAGCGGGGACUUCUCCGACCUCUGGAUCUACUUUGUCGGCC
rnacentral:lncRNA from 1 species